rnacentral:sRNA from 1 species
UGGGGACCACCGGCUCUCAGCAUUACGCUGUGGGCAUCUCUUUGGGUAUAGGUGCAUUUCCACGUGGCUUAAAGGACAAGUACGAAAAUGUCCCCAGUGCAACAAGAAAGCCAGGCAGAGUGACAUUGUCGUCCUUUAUGCCCGAACCCUGAGAGCUUUGGACACUAGUGAACAGGAGCGCAUGAAAAGGUAGGUGGUAAGAGUAUGCCUGGCUGGAAUGUUCCCUUUUGGUUCAUUAUAGGCACAUCUGAAAAAGAAGUUAUGAGUCACUCGUAGUGAGGUUUUACUUGACCUGUGACUUGGGAUCUCUGAGGAUUGUUGGCAGUCUGUCUUACACUGUUAUUUAUAAUUCAUGUCUGAUCAUCUUCUUAAGGAAGUCUGCAUCGUUUGCCUUAUGUAGAGCAUUAAACACAAGGAUCUGGCACAUUACUUCUGUUGCCAUUUUUGCUUCUCACAUCCCUGACCCCCCUCACAGCAGUUCUCCAUACCGAAAACUCAUAAGUGAAGCUUUGCACAUGCAGUGCAAUGUAAAAUUACCAGGAUUUCGGAAGCAUAUAAACAGUUGCU